GAUGAACGCUAGCUACAGGCUUAACACAUGCAAGUCGAGGGGAAACGAUAUUGGAAGCUUGCUUCCGAUAGGCGUCGACCGGCGCACGGGUGAGUAACGCGUAUCCAACCUGCCCACCACUUGGGGAUAACCUUGCGAAAGUAAGACUAAUACCCAAUGAUAUCACUAGAAGAAAUCUGAAGGCGAUUAAAGAUUCAUCGGAGAUGGAUGGGGAUGCGUCUGAUUAGCUUGUUGGCGGGGUAACGGCCCACCAAGGCGACGAUCAGUAGGGGUUCUGAGAGGAAGGUCCCCCACAUUGGAACUGAGACGCGGUCCAAACUCCUACGGGAGGCAGCAGUGAGGAAUAUUGGUCAAUGGGCGAGAGCCUGAACCAGCCAAGUAGCGUGCAGGAUGACGGCCCUAUGGGUUGUAAACUGCUUUUAUAAGGGAAUAAAGUGAGUCUCGUGAGACUUUUUGCAUGUACCUUAUGAAUAAGGACCGGCUAAUUCCGUGCCAGCCGCCGCGGUAA
rnacentral:rRNA from 1 species